rnacentral:rRNA from 1 species
CCUACGGGAGACUGCAGUGAGGAAUAUUGGUCAAUGGACGAGAGUCUGAACCAGCCAAGUAGCGUGAAGGAUGACUGCCCUAUGGGUUGUAAACUUCUUUUAUAUGGGAAUAAAACGUUCCACGUGUGGGAUUUUGUAUGUACCAUAUGAAUAAGGAUCGGCUAACUCCGUGCCAGCAGCCGCGGUAAUACGGAGGAUCCGAGCGUUAUCCGGAUUUAUUGGGUUUAAAGGGAGCGUAGGUGGAUUGUUAAGUCAGUUGUGAAAGUUUGCGGCUCAACCGUAAAAUUGCAGUUGAAACUGGCAGUCUUGAGUACAGUAGAGGUGGGCGGAAUUCGUGGUGUAGCGGUGAAAUGCUUAGAUAUCACGAAGAACUCCGAUUGCGAAGGCAGUUCACUGGACUGCCACUGACACUGAGGCUCGAAAGUGUGGGUAUCAAACAGGAUUAGAUACCCGAGUAGUC